UGAAAUGACUUCUAUCUUGCACAGAAGUCUGAAAUUUUUAGUUGUAAUACUAUAUGACCAAAUAAUUCUGUUAUUAUAGUAUUGUAAUGUGUUGAACGAACAUGGUGUUAAUACCUAACAAGUUUAUUAUCGUUUAGGAAUAUAAUUUGAUUACAUGGUUAGACAUUUAAACUAUAUAUGAUGUAUAAUUUAUAAUGACUGAUAACGUUAUGAUAACAUAUGUAUAUAGGGUAUUGUGAUUUGGAUAUUAUCAGUUUAAUCUACGCGCAAGGCAAGUUCUUUAACUCUAUUUUUUAUAAUUGAGCAAGUUCUUUAACUCUACUUUGUUAAUAGUUGAGCAAGUUUUUCUAAUUCUAAAUCGUCGUUAUGCAAAUUUCAUAUUUCUAUACUUUAUUGAGUAAAGUAUUUUCAUUAAGCAACUUAAUUUUAUCUAGUUAUUCAUGAUGAUACAAGCUUCCCAUCUCCAUACUUUCGUCGAGAUAAUUAUUAUGAUUAUGCAAGUUUUUUGUG
rnacentral:lncRNA from 1 species